AGCAAUAUGAAGGCCAGGCUGAAGACUUUGCCGGAUUAGCUGAGAGGCGGUGCAUGGCCGUCGUCAGUUCGUACUGUGAAGCAUCCUGUUAAGUCAGGCAACGAGCGAGACCCACGCCCACAGUUGCCAGCGUACUCUCUGGAGUGACGGGUACACUGUGGGGGACCGCCGCUGCUAAAGCGGAGGAAGGAAUGGGCAACGGUAGGUCAGUAUGCCCCGAAUAUCCCGGGCUACACGCGAGCUACAAUGGUUGGUACAAUGGGUAUCUACCCCGAAAGGGGACGGGAAUCUCCUAAAACCAAUCUUCGUUCGGAUUGAGGGCUGCAACUCGCCCUCAUGAAGCUGGAAUCCGUAGUAAUCGCGUUUCAACAGAACGCGGUGAAUACGUCCCUGCUCCUU
rnacentral:rRNA from 1 species